UUACCUAAUUCUCUUCCCACACUUUUCAAUCAUUUAUUUCUCAGAUCUCAAAGUAUAUCAUCUAUUCAUCUAUAAUUGCACAGAUCUCAGAGGAAUCUAGUCAUUGGCCUCUUUCCAGCCGAAUAGGAUUAAUUCCCAGCACCCCACGGUCAGCCGUCCACAUUAGAUCCCAACGUCCCACACUCCUUCAUUUCUCCCGCUAGAUCCCAGCUUAUCCACGGAUAAGGUCACACAUUUUUCUGAUUCGGAAUUAUCUCCCAGCUUCAUCCCGUUCAUAUCCGCAUCCCCUGCAUCCCAGAUCCCAUCGAAUCAAGCCAACCUCCUUCGGAUUCCUUCCAUGUCCACGAACAAAGCCAUCUCUUCCCCUGUUUCGGAACCACUCCCAGCUAUAUCCAAAGCAUCCUUAUCCCACGGAUUGCAUCCCAGCCCGCGGUUCAUCUUCAUCUCCCAUGCUUUCGGAUCAUCUCUAAUGCGUCCGAAGAUCAAGCAACAAAGUCUCGGAUAAGCUCCAAUCCAAGCGAACUUACUUCAUCCCAUUCGGUUCCUAGCUCCCCUGUUUCGGAACAACUUCUUCCCAGCCGAAACCUUUUCUUCCUCCCGUUCAGAACCAACUCCCAGCAUCCUCAUCCACUUCCUCCGAGAUCUUCUCAAACGUCUACAGCCGCAUCCCAAAGCCUCAUCUCUUCUCAGCCAUGGGCUUCAUCCAAACAUCCCCUGUUUCACGUGUCUUCAUCUCCAAAGCUUCCGGAACAGCUCCUCCCGCGAUGCUUGCCAAGCAAACAAACUUCUAUCUUUAUCCAACACCCAAGCUGCCAAAUCCCAUGGAUCAUCUCCUGUUUUCCAAGCCAUUCCAAGCAUCAUGGAAGAGUUUUUCUGUUCCUACACGAAGGAAUCUUCCCACUCGAGGAAUCCGUUCCCAAGCCGUCAUCCUUAUCCAAACGACUUCCCCUGCUUCAGCCACAGAGGAACACCCAACAUCCGGAUCAGAGCCUUCACCACGUCCCAGCUCCUUCCGCGACCA
rnacentral:lncRNA from 1 species